AUUUUGUGACUCUCUGUUUUAGUGAUAUCUUGAUCCCAAUGCACUGAAGAGUCUGUUAUGUACAAAACUGGAAUGCAGCAGUUCUGCACGCAGCAAAUCAAGCGAGACGGGCAGGCAGGGUACUCCAGCGUGCUGCUCCUCUGCUGCACCUCGCAGGAGCCAGAGCUGGUGCUGACCGGGAGAUGAAGAGGUUUGCUACUCAGUCAUAAUCCCGUCAUUACCCAUGGAUGUCUGAAUAUGGUAGGUGAAAUAAAUGUUUUUUCUACUGAGAAUGAMUACGUCGUACUAAUUUCCCACCAGCAGACGGAGCUCUCUAUCAAUCGUCGGGUAAAUGCAAGCCCCGGGAACUGGAAGGGAGGAGACUGGCUUUUGGCCACUCUGUGCACAGAUAAUGCUCUUGCCUCCACGGAAUCUCCUCUUCAUUGGGAUCAGGAACACUAUGAACAUGGAGAAGAGAAGAACCUGCUGACGAGGCAUCAUGUACUCAAGAAUAAUAAACACAGUGGUAAUCAGAACCAUCUUCUGAAGGAAUCAGAUUUAGGUUUAUCUGAAGACUUGACAAUCUUCCUUGGAGCACAGCAGAAGUCAUAAACCAGACCUGUGCAAUCUGAGGCUUCUGCAAUGGGAAGCCCCUAUUGGUCAUGCAUAUUGGCACUAAUGUUACUACCAAGACUGAAGAGGAAAGAAGUGAUUUCAAGGCUAUGGAGGAGAGCCAGAGGUUAUAUUUCCUCUCCCAGCCAAAGAGAAACACCCCAGCAGGGGUGACAGCUCCUGGGGUUAAAGGCACAGUUUUG
rnacentral:lncRNA from 1 species